GGGCGCUUGGCACAGUGGUAGCGCGCCUGCUUUGCACUCCGGUUGCAAACUGCAUGAGGUCGAGGGUUCAAACCCCUCAGCGUCCA
rnacentral:tRNA from 1 species